AAUGAGGUGCCUGAUAAAAGGGUUAUCUUGAUAGGAUAAAUCAUGUAAAUUUUAAUUUACUCUCAUUA
rnacentral:tRNA from 1 species